rnacentral:rRNA from 1 species
CAGUAGCCGCGGUAAUACGUAUGUCACAAGCGUUAUCCGGACUUAUUGGGCGUAAAGCGCGUCUAGGUGGUUAUGUAAGUCUGAUGUGAAAAUGCAGGGCUCAACUCUGUAUUGCGUUGGAAACUGUGUAACUAGAGUACUGGAGAGGUAAGCGGAACUACAAGUGUAGAGGUGAAAUUCGUAGAUAUUUGUAGGAAUGCCGAUGGGGAAGCCAGCUUACUGGACAGAUACUGACGCUAAAGCGCGAAAGCGUGGGUAGCAAACAGGAUUAGAUACCCCCGUAGUCCCUGUCUCUUAUACA